rnacentral:rRNA from 1 species
GAUGAACGCUGGCGGCGUGCCUAAUACAUGCAAGUCGAGCGAACAGACGAGGAGCUUGCUCCUCUGACGUUAGCGGCGGACGGGUGAGUAACACGUGGAUAACCUACCUAUAAGACUGGGAUAACUUCGGGAAACCGGAGCUAAUACCGGAUAAUAUAUUGAACCGCAUGGUUCAAUAGUGAAAGACGGUUUUGCUGUCACUUAUAGAUGGAUCCGCGCCGCAUUAGCUAGUUGGUAAGGUAACGGCUUACCAAGGCAACGAUGCGUAGCCGACCUGAGAGGGUGAUCGGCCACACUGGAACUGAGACACGGUCCAGACUCCUACGGGAGGCAGCAGUAGGGACUCUUCCGCAAUGGGCGUAAGCCUGACUGAGCAACGCCGCGUCAGUGAUGAAGGUCUUCGGAUCGUAAAACUCUGUUAUUAGGGAAGAACACAUGUGUAAGUAACUAUGCACGUCUUGACGGUACCUAAUCAGAAAGCCACGGCUAACUACGUG